rnacentral:rRNA from 1 species
CAAGUGUUGAGAUAGAGCUUUGCUCGUGUACCAAAUCUGGUAGGCUAGGCUGCCUUAGCGGAAAUGCUGGGGUGGUUCGUCUACGAAUUGCAAUCAUCAUAUGGGCGGGGGUGAAUCCUUUGCAGACGACUUGAAUGGGAACGGGGUACUGUAAGCGGUAGAGUAGCCUUGUUGCUACAAUCCGCUGAGGUUAAGCCCUUGUUCUAAAGAUUUGU